UGUUGAAGCUACUUCCCUGCCUUGCAGUAGACACACCAGAUUUAUUUUCUCUCCAGUCUUUCCACCACAGGCGAGCCAGCUUUAAGCCAAACUCUUCUCAAUUGUGAUCUGCGUGUAUCUAAUCAAACGAUGUGGACUUGGACAGACUGUCUGUGUGUCAAUAUCCUGCUUCUGCUCCAAAGAGCAGGCUCUGAGAAGUUUGAGGUUCUUGGUCCGACUCGUGCCAUUGUUGCUGUGGCUGGUGAUGACAUCAUUCUGCCCUGUUCUAUCAAACCAAGUAUCACCGCUGAGGACAUGAGAGUUGACUGGUUCAGAAUCAACCUCCUAGACACUCAGUCAAACAUUAGAGUCCAUCUCUACCAAGACGGCGGAGACAAAUACCCUGAUCAGAUCCUCUCCUAUGAAGGAAAUGACAUCGCUGUUUAAAGAGGAACUGAAGAAGGGCAACACCUCUUUGAAACUGACCAGGGUACAGGGCACUGAUGAUGGACGUUAUAAAUGUCUUGUUGAGUCUAAGACACAUUAUGAUGAUGCCACCAUUCAACCCACAUGAUGUUCCUCCCAAUCUGAGCAGUACUUCAUCUCCAGUCUCCCUUUGUGUCUGUAGCUAUAGGAUCCAAGCCAGAGGUUUCCAUUGAGGGACAGAAAGAAGGAGGGAUGGAUCUGCUGUGUGUAUCUAAAGGCUGGUUCCCUGAGCCUGAGUUGGAGUGGCUGGACAGUGAAGGGGUCACUCUGUCUGCUGGACCGUCAGAGACAGACAGGGACUAUGAGGGAUUCUACAUAGUCAAACUAAAGACCAUCGUAAAGGAGACUGACAUCAACCGCUUUACCUGUAGAGUCAGACAGAGACAGAUCUAUGAUGUGAUUAAGAUGGAGACAGAGUUUCACAUCCCUAGUGAGUAACAUCAUAGUAUUGUUUAGCUGAGAUGGAACACUUCAUGUUUUAUAUGCUGUUGUAUUACAAAGGCUGCUUAACAAACAUAAAUAGGACAGUUGGAUACAAGUUUGUCAACAUUUUUAGAACUCUAAAGUAUUCUAAUGUCAAGAUGAAACCAUGUUUGUUUUGU